rnacentral:rRNA from 1 species
AGAGUUUGAUCCUGGCUCAGGAUAAACGCUGGCGGCGUGCCUUACGCAUGCAAGUCGCACGAUCACUUCGGUGGUAGUGGCGGACGGGUGAGUAACACGUACGUGAUCUGUCCCGAACUGGGGGAUAACCGCCCGAAAGGGUGGCUAAUACCGCAUGUGGUCUCCUCAUUGCGGUGGGGAGAGUAAAGCUCCGGCGGUUCGGGAGGAGCGUGCGGCCGAUUAGCUAGUUGGUGGGGUAACGGCCUACCAAGGCAGCGAUCGGUAGCUGGUCUGAGAGGCGGCCAGCCACACGGGGACUGAGACACGGCCCCGACUCCUACGGGAGGCAGCAGCGAGGAAUCUUGGUCAAUGGGCGAAAGCCUGAACCAGCGACGCCGCGUGGAGGAUGAAGCCCUCGGGUCGUAAACUCCUUUUGUGUGGGAAGAAGAUCUGACGGUACCACACGAAUAAGCCACGGCUAACUACGUGCCAGCAGCCGGGUAAUACGUAGGUGGCGAGCGUUGUCCGGAUUUAUUGGGCGUAAAGCGCGCGCAGCGGUCUGUUAGUCCGUUGUGAAAGCUCCCGCUCAACUGGAGAGGUCUUCGGAUACUGGCAGACUCGAGGGAGCAGAGGAAGGUGGAAUUCCCGGUGUAGUGGUGAAAUGCGUAGAGAUCGGGAGGAACNNCCAGUGCGAAGNNGCCUUCUGGNNCUUUCNNNGCUGAGNNNCGAAAGCGNNNNGAGCGACCGGAUUAGAUACCCUAGUAGUCC